rnacentral:tRNA from 1 species
GCUGUAGCUCAGUUGGUAGAGCCCCGGAUUGUGAUUCCGGUUGUCGUGGGUUCAAGUCCCAUCAG